CAGGUGGUUCAUCAUGGAGCCAGACUCACAAGCUUCAAUGUAGAACACCAUCUGCAGGGGCGUCCGAGACAGACUUAAGAAGAGGGCAGUGAGAGGGCUCAGAUGGUAAGAGCUUCGCUGCCAAGCCUGAUGACCUGAGUUCGAUCCCCAGGACCUGCGGGAUGGAAGAUGAGAACCGACUCCCAAAAACUGUCCCUCUUUGACCUCCAUGUGUGUGACAUGGCACACAUGCACAUAAAUAAAUGUAAAAAUCAA